UACGUAGGUGGCAAGCGUUGUCCGGAUUUACUGGGCGUAAAGAGCUCGUAGGCGGUUCGGCAAGUCGACGGUGAAAUCUCCACGCUCAACGUGGAGGGGUCCGUCGAUACUGCCGUGACUCGAGUCCGGUAGGGGAGUGUGGAAUUCCCGGUGUAGCGGUGAAAUGCGCAGAGAUCGGGAGGAACACCCGUAGCGAAGGCGGA
rnacentral:rRNA from 1 species